GAGGCCGCCAGUGACUUCCGAGGCCCAGGGCAAGGGGACCCCGCGAGAGAUCACGGCAGCCAGCGGAGCGGGCUCGCGAGGGGGCACACGCACGCCAGGGAGCGCCCGGGGAGCGCCCGGCCGCCGCGCCGCCAUGUGCGAGCUGUACAGCAAGCAGGACACCCUGGCGCUGCGGAGGAAGCACAUCGGGCCCUCCUGCAAAGUCUUCUUUGCUGCGGAUCCCGUCAAAAUAGUGCGAGCCCAGCGGCAGUACAUGUUUGACGAGCGAGGCGACCGGUACCUGGACUGCAUCAACAACGUGGCCCACGUGGGACACUGUCACCCAGAAGUGGUCAAGGCUGCCCUGGAACAGAUGGAAGCGCUAAAUACAAAUUCUCGAUUCCUCCAUGACAAUAUUGUUGAGUAUGCCAGGCGCCUGUCAGCGACCCUGCCGGAGAAACUCUCCGUUUGCUAUUUUACAAACUCGGGAUCUGAAGCCAAUGACUUAGCGUUACGUUUGGCUCGGCAGUUCAGAGGCCACCAAGAUGUGAUCACUCUUGACCAUGCUUACCAUGGUCACUUAUCAUCUUUAAUUGAGAUCAGCCCAUAUAAAUUCCAAAAGGGCAAAGAUGUCAAGAAAGAAUUUGUGCAUGUGGCACCAGCUCCAGAUACUUACAGAGGAAAAUACAGAGAAGACCAUGCAGACCCAGCCAAUGCUUAUGCAGAUGAAGUGAAGGAAAUUAUUGAAAAAGCUCAUAACAGUGGAAGGAAGAUUGCUGCCUUUAUUGCUGAAUCCAUGCAGAGUUGUGGCGGACAAAUAAUUCCUCCAGCAGGCUACUUCCAGAAAGUGGCAGAAUAUGUACACAGAGCAGGAGGUGUGUUUAUUGCUGAUGAAGUUCAGGUGGGCUUUGGCCGAGUUGGGAAACAUUUCUGGAGCUUCCAAAUGCAGGGCGAAGACUUUGUUCCGGACAUCGUCACAAUGGGGAAACCAAUGGGCAAUGGCCACCCAAUGGCAUGCGUGGUAACAACCAAAGAAAUCGCAGAAGCCUUCAGCAGUUCUGGGAUGGAAUACUUCAAUACGUAUGGAGGAAAUCCAGUAUCUUCUGCUAUUGGUUUGGCUGUCCUGAAUGUAAUUGAAAAUGAAGACCUUCAAGGAAAUGCCACUAGAGUGGGGGAUUAUCUUACUGAGUUACUCAAUAAACAGAAGGCUAAACACACUUUGAUAGGAGACAUCAGGGGCAUCGGCCUGUUUAUCGGAAUUGACUUGGUGAAGGACCAGCAGGAAAGGACCCCCGCCACAGAUGAAGCUCAACAUGUCAUCUACAAGAUGAAAGAAAAGCGAGUCCUUCUCAGUGCCGACGGACCUCAUAGAAAUGUGCUUAAAAUAAAACCACCUAUGUGCUUCACGGAAGAAGAUGCGAAAUUUAUGGUGGACCAACUCGAUGAGAUCCUAACAGUUUUAGAAGAAGCCAUCGGAGCCAAAAGUGAGAGUGUGAUCUCUGAGAAUACUCCAUGCAGAGCAAAGCCAGGAUUCACGGUACUAGGAAUCACAGGGUGAAAAUGAAAGGGAAUCCUCUAUUGACCACAGGGAUCCACUAGAACAAUUUUUACUUCCCAUCCCCACAAGUUUAGCCUUUGCUGCUCUGGAAGUCUUGGUUCCAAAGGAAAUAAUCCUUCCACUAAAGGACACAACAAUGAUCCCUUCUAAAAGCUGAGACUGCCAUCUGGCCACUUUGGAUUUGUCAUGCCACUGAAUCAACAGGUGAUGAGGUGCAGAGGGAGAAGGAGAGAGAGAAUCUUUAGCAAGCUCCAUGCCCAGUGCUACCCAGGCACCCCUCACCCAAAGAUUUUUUAAAGUGUGUGUUGGAGUGGAUUUUCCACACAUCUAAGGAGACACUGAUGUGUGCUCAGGGGCAUUAGGUUGCCUCCAUAAGUGAGGUGAGCCUGGAGAACACCAGCCCAGGAGGUGCUCAGGCUCUCUGCUCUCAGAAGCCACAGCAGUGUUCCAGAACCAGGUGGAAGCCGGGGGUUCUCUUCCAGCUUUGCCAGGUUCAAGCGUGCUUUAAUGGGGAGCGCUCCUGGGCGAGGUUCCAUGACUCGGAGAGGUGGCCUGAGUCAGGGAAGUCGCUCAAUGGCAACUUAUAAGAAAUCCUCCAGACCCAUGUCCUCUCCAGUAUUUCAUAUUGUCAGUAGUGCUGUUCAUAACAGCAAAAACCUAGAAACAUGCAAAUGUUCCCUCAGCAGUUGGGUAGGUUAAUAGGUUAUAAAAUAUGUACACAGUGGACUAUAAUAUAGCAUUUAAAAAUGAUCAACUGGGGAGCACCUGGGUGGCUCAGUUGGUUAAGCAUCUCUGUCUUCAGCUCAGGUCAUGAUCUCAAGGUCCUGGGAUCAAGCCCCGCAUCAGGCUCCAUGCUCAGUGGGAAGUCUGUGUCUCCCUCUCCUUCCUGCCACUCUGCCUUCUUGUACUCUCUCUCUCCCUGUGUCAAAUAAGUAACAUCUUUUUUUAAAAAUGAUCAACUGCCAUGUCACACAAUAUAGAUAAUUUUAUCAAUACAAUCAUAGGUGGAAAAAUAUGUCUGAAAGAUUACAUAAAACAGGAGACCCUUCCUAUAAACACACACAUACAACAUAUUUUUAAUAAUGCAUUUAAAUACCAAAAAGAAGUAUAUAGAAAGCAAAGCAGGUUGUGAUGAGCACAGGAUGAGGGUGUGGGAUGACAAAGGAUAGUUUGAUAAAAGGUAUCAUGUGGUUAAUUGUAAGUUAUUGUCAAGGUCCUAGCUUUCAAUUUAGGUAUUAUGUUCUCAGAUAUUUAUGGCAUUAUUUAAAAUAAUCCAAUAACUAACUAAAGACCAUACAUGAACCAAUGAUGGUCAUUAGUUC